UCUCAGGUUUAAAUGAAUUAUUUUACCAGAGUAAUACGAAUAUAAAUUUAAAAUUCAAAGGGCUUGGCGGUGUUUUAGACUUUUUAGGGGAACCUGUCUCGUAAUCGAUAAUCCACGUUAGACCUAACCUUCUUUGAUUGUUUGUAUACCGUCGUCGUCAGGUAACCUUUAAAAGAUUAGGAGUUAGCAUUAAAAUAUGUUAAUUAAUACGUUAGAUCAAGGUGCAGCUCAUGGGAAGGGGAGGAUGGGUUACAAUUAUAUAAGUUAUAACUACGAAUAGUUAGUUGAAAGUUAGUUAGAAGGAGGACUUAAGAGUAAAAGUGUAACAAGAUGGAUUCUUUGAAUGAGGCUCUGAAACGUGC
rnacentral:rRNA from 1 species